rnacentral:rRNA from 1 species
AGUUCGAAUUGAAGGCUGAAAUUCGCCUUCAUGAAGUCGGAAUUGCUAGUAAUGGCAGGUCAGCAUACUGCCGUGAAUACGUUCCCGGGCCUUGUACACACCGCCCGUCACACCAUGAGAGUUGGGAAUACCCGAAGCCUGUGAGCUAACUUAUAGAGGCAGCAGUCGAAGGUAGAAUCAAUGAUUGGGGUGAAGUCGUAACAAGGUAGC